rnacentral:rRNA from 1 species
AGAGUUUGAUUCUGGCUCAGGAUGAACGCUAGCUACAGGCUUAACACAUGCAAGUCGAGCGGAACUGCUCGGCAGUUAGCGGCAGACAGGUGAGUAACACGUAUCCAACCUUCCCCUUACUCGGGUAUAGCCUCGGGAAACUGAGAGUAAUCCCCGAUGUGGUGUACGCUUCGCAUGUAAUGCACACCAAAGAUUAAUCGGUAAGGGAUGGGGAUGCGUUCCAUUAGCUAGUAGGCGGGGUAACGGCCCACCUAGGCGAUGAUGGAUAGGGGUUCUGAGAGGAAGGUCCCCCACAUUGGAACUGCGACACGGUCCAAACUCCUACGGGAGGCAGCAGUGAGGAAUAUUGGUCAAUGGCCGAGAGGCUGAACCAGCCAAGUAGCGUGCAGGAAUGACGGCCCUACGGGUUGUAAACUGCUUUUGUGCGGGAAUAACGGUCGACACGUGUGUUGAUGUGCAUGUACCGUACGAAUAAGGAUCGGCUAACUCCGUGCCAGCCGCAGC